GAGGGCGGGGCCGGGCGGGGCUCGACCUGGCGGCUGGAGUUUAGUCCGCGGGCGGCUGCGGGGGAAUCUCUGACUCUUCUCCGGGGCUGCAGCGGCCGCGUCGCGUCGGGCUCCUGAUCGCCAUGGGGACCGAGGCGAGAGCCGGGAGGAGACAGCUGCUCGUCUUCACGUCGGUCGUCCUGAGCUCCCUGGCGUUGGGCAGGGGCGCAGUGUAUACUUCUGAGCCCGAUGUCAGAGUUCCUGAGGACAAACCCGCCAAGUUGUCCUGCUCCUACUCGGGCUUCUCCAACCCCCGCGUGGAGUGGAAGUUCGCCCAUGGUGACAUCACCAGCCUCGUUUGUUAUAAAAACAAGAUCACGGCCUCCUAUGCAGACCGAGUCACCUUCUCGCACAGUGGCAUCACUUUCCAUUCGGUGACCCGGAAAGACACGGGGACGUACACUUGCAUGGUGUCUGACGAUGGCGGCAACACGUACGGGGAGGUCAGCGUCCAGCUCACUGUGCUUGUGCCUCCAUCCAAGCCCACGGUCCACAUCCCCUCCUCUGCCACCAUCGGGAGUCGGGCAGUGCUGACCUGCUCAGAGAAGGAUGGCUCCCCCCCUUCUGAGUACUACUGGUUCAAGGACGGGGUCCGGAUGCCUUUGGAGCCCAAGGGCAACCGCGCCUUCAGCAACUCUUCCUACAGCCUGAAUGAAAAGACAGGGGAGCUGGUCUUCGAUCCCGUGUCAGCCUGGGAUACGGGCGAGUACACCUGUGAGGCGCAGAAUGGGUACGGGAUGCCCAUGAGGUCAGAGGCUGUGCGCAUGGAAGCCGGGCACGGUCCUUGGGUGCCAUCUGAGUACUGACCUGAUAGUGAGCCCACGUGUGCAGGGGUUCUCUCCCGGGAACAAAGAAAGGGACCUCGAGUAAGAAGGUGAUUUACAGCCAGCCCGCUGCCCGCAGUGAAGGGGAAUUCAGGCAGACCUCGUCAUUCCUGGUGUGACCCUGGUCCGACUCAUCUCCUGUCCUCCGUGCUUGCCUUCUUCCGGUGCUACCAGACUCCGGCCCGUGGCGUCUGUAGUUUCACAGGGUCCCUUACGCGUCUUCUAGCCCCCACAGGGGUCCCCACGUUUAUCUUAGUUAGGAUGUGGUUGUGUACGCUUUCCCCCUGCAUCCCGCCCUUCCUUUCCCGCCAUUGCCCAGUGGCCCGGGACUUGUUUAAAAGCUUUCAUCCCCCAUGUCCCCCAUCCCUACGAGGGAUCAGGGAACAGCCCUGAGCGUCACGCCCCUUGACUUCCCUUCCCAGAACGUGGCAACAGUGGCCGGGCACUCAAUACCCUCUGUGUGGCGGCGGCCCCUCCCCCCCAGCAGGGAUCUGGAGUUUGGUCCCUCGGCCCUUUCCUCCCGUGGUGAGGAGGGACCCACUGUUCCAGAGUGGGGACUGGAGACCGAGCCACCGAAGAGGUUGUGGGGUGACAACACCAAGGCUCUCCCGCCCCUGCAGCCCACUCCACUUUCUUCUGUCUUCCUACGGGAAGUGCCCCCGAGACCCUCUUGCACCGGCCUGAACGCAGAAAGACACCAUCUGUGUCUGUCGAAAGAAACCGGAGCUUUGUUAUGGAGACCAUGGGGUGGGGGUGGGGGGGCUCUCAGGGGACACUGAGCGGAAGGGUUUUAAAACCCCUGAUCUGAAGAAAAGGAAGCUGGCGCUGGGAGCUCCGACCAUCACCCUUCCCUUGGCUGGAACAACUGGAUGGACCCUUUUAAGAUGCGUCUGCAGGGCCGUGCGGAUGUGCGCACUGGUCGUAGCUCUUCGCUGUGGGGUGUGUGCGUGUGUGCGUGUGCGUGUGUGCGUGCGCGCGCGCGUGCACAUUCGCGCGCUCGGUCUUCUCUCUGCUGAAAUGCGGUGUGUGUCCAGGGCGUCUUCGCUCUUUGGUGAGACUGUUGGUGUGUGUUUGGAUGUAGCCGGAUGUUGCUGGUUUGUCAAAGCCUCUCGUCGCAGGAAGUUGGGGAAAUGAAGUUCCUGGGCUCCUUUGUACAAACAGGAAGGCGCCUGAAACCCUGCUUCCCAACAACCUGGGUUGGUCCUGGCCCCCUGUCCCACCCCUUCCUGGCUCCCGUCUCAAGGCAGAGCUUCUGAGCUUGGGACCCUCAUUCCGGAGCCCUCUGGCGGCCGGAGGAAGCCGAUGCUGUGCCCUGGGGUUCUCCCUGGUCUGGUCCACUGAGGGGAGAAAGUGCCCACCCUCCCCUCCCCCCUCUGCCAACCAGAUGCAUGGAAAGACUUCUCUAAGGAGAACAGACUGCCCCAGAGCAGUACAGCAACCAUUGCUUCACUGGAGCGGAGUUGGGGGCUGGGGUGCUGUUUAGAGGAAAGGUAAUUUGAGACCAGGUGACAAGGCCAUCCGCGUGUGACUGCUGGGAAGGUAGGCCUGCCUGACGUUGCUUUCCUUUGUGCGUCUGGACAGCCCUUUUUGCCCUUAAAUUUCUGUUUCCCCCUCUACCGUAGUCGCCCGGUCUAUUAACGAGCGAGAGGGCGAACACGGGGGUCUUCAAGGGUUGAUUUUGCUUAACUUCCUUCCGUGGGGGACACUAAGCCCCACUUUGCCGGGUUUUAUUCCCUGAUCUGGAAACCCCUGACAGAAUUGAGUUUUCUAUCGAGAAUCCAAGAGGAAAAACAAGCCUAGCCAAACCAUCGGUUAAGGGUCAUGGGCCAAUAAAAAAAGAGCUUUUUCAGAUGGAGAUAAAAUUUAAUUAAACAGUAAAAGCAGAGAUGAUGAAAUGGUUCAGUAAGAAAGAGAUUUUUAAAGCGUGUUUCAGCCUCCUGGUUGGGAGACGGGGUGGGAGGGACGCGGAGCCAAGGCCACAGGGAAGCAGAGGUGACUCAUUGUCCCGUCAGGUCUGAGGUGAGUGGUUCCUCACCGUCUCGGUCACUUGUGAUGAACAGAAGUCAUGCGUGACCAGCCUUGGAAGUCACCUCUCCAGCUUACCACAGUCCCCUUGAGUUGGAAAACACCCUGUCUGCUUUCGUUUCGAAAUGUCAAGGCUAAUUUUGUAAUAAAUGUUUAUUUUUCACAUUGA